UACGUAGGGCGCAAGCGUUGUCCGGAAUUAUUGGGCGUAAAGAGCUCGUAGGCGGCCUGUUGCGUCCGCUGUGAAAACCCGGGGCUUAACCCCGGGCUUGCAGUGGAUACGGGCAGGCUGGAGGCAGGCAGGGGAGAACGGAAUUCCCGGUGUAGCGGUGAAAUGCGCAGAUAUCGGGAGGAACACCGGUGGCGAAGGCGGCGACCUGGGCCAAUAUUGACGCUGAGGUGCGAAAGCGUGGGGAGCAAACAGG
rnacentral:rRNA from 1 species